rnacentral:rRNA from 1 species
UACGUAGGUGGCAAGCGUUGUCCGGAAUUAUUGGGCGUAAAGCGCGCGCAGGCGGUCCUUUAAGUCUGAUGUGAAAGCCCACGGCUCAACCGUGGAGGGUCAUUGGAAACUGGAGGACUUGAGUGCAGAAGAGAAGAGUGGAAUUCCACGUGUAGCGGUGAAAUGCGUAGGGAUGUGGAGGAACACCAGUGGCGAAGGCGACUCUUUGGUCUGUAACUGAUGCUGAGGCGCGAAAGCGUGGGGGGCAAACAGG